AUGGUGACACUCUAUUCCCUGAUAAUCUAUGCCGAAGACAACCAAGGGGCAACAGCAUCACAGACCAUUUUAAUCCAGAUCGCAGAUGUGAAUGAACCGCCCACCUUCACUGGAUCUCUUGCCCAGGGUGACCAAGGGCAGAUGGUAAACUCCUCCUGGGCAGAUCCAAGGUGAAAUUAUGCUCUUCUGACUUCUAAAACUGGCAGCUUGGUGCCAGAGUGCUUGUGGACACUUGAGCAUUUGUUCAUCAGAUAAGCAGGUCCUGGCUACCCCCUAAGCAGGCCCAUGGACCCCUUGGCUAUCCACAAAUCCUGCCUUCUUGGCACAAUGGUGCAGCAGUUUCCCCUGGGUGGUUCUUCCCCUCACACACUCAAGGAUCUCUUACUGCCUCAAGGUUCCUGUUCCCUGGAAAACUUGCAAACUGGCAAAUUUGCAAGUUUGUAUUCCUCACUGUUUUAAAAACAUACGGGAUGAGAGCAAAAUUAAGGACAAGAUAAACUUUAAUAAAAUACUUAG
rnacentral:lncRNA from 1 species